CACACAAGCUACGUCAGCAAUCUAUUCUCUUCAAUCUUUCAUUUUCUCCAACUAUUCAAACAACAAUCAAUAAAAUACAAGCAA